UCCCUGGUGGCUCAGAGGUUAAAGCGUCUGCCUGCAAUGCAAGAGACCUGGGUUCGAUCCCUGGGUUGGGAA
rnacentral:tRNA from 1 species